rnacentral:rRNA from 1 species
UGGGGAAUAUUGCACAAUGGGCGCAAGCCUGAUGCAGCCAUGCCGCGUGUAUGAAGAAGGCCUUCGGGUUGUAAAGUACUUUCAGCGGGGAGGAAGGGAGUAAAGUUAAUACCUUUGCUCAUUGACGUUACCCGCAGAAGAAGCACCGGCUAACUCCGUGCCAGCAGCCGCGGUAAUACGGAGGGUGCAAGCGUUAAUCGGAAUUACUGGGCGUAAAGCGCACGCAGGCGGUUUGUUAAGUCAGAUGUGAAAUCCCCGGGCUCAACCUGGGAACUGCAUCUGAUACUGGCAAGCUUGAGUCUCGUAGAGGGGGGUAGAAUUCCAGGUGUAGCGGUGAAAUGCGUAGAGAUCUGGAGGAAUACCGGUGGCGAAGGCGGCCCCCUGGACGAAGACUGACGCUCAAGUGCGAAAGCGUGGGGAGCAAACAGG